CAACGAAUCUUCCCCAAUGGGCGAAAGCCUGAGGGAGCGACGCCGCGUGUGGGACGAAGUUCUUCGGAAUGUAAACCACUGUUAGGGUUAUGAAAGCGACUGCGCCUAAUACGCGUGGAAGUUGAUCUGACCCAGAGAAAGGGACGGCUAACUCUGUGCCAGCAGCCGCGGUAAUACAGAGGUCCCAAGCGUUACUGAGAAUCACUGGGUUUAAAGGGUGCGUAGGUGGUCCGUUAAGUCAGUUGUGAAAUCCCCGAGCUCAACUCGGGAACUGCUUCUGAUACUGGCGGACUUGAGGCCAGUAGAGGUCACUGGAACUGACGGUGGAGCGGUGAAAUGCGUAGAUAUCGUCAGGAACGCCGGUGGUGAAGACGGGUGACUGGGCUGGUUCUGACACUGAGGCACGAAAGCGUGGGGAGCGAACGGGAUUAGAUACCCCCGUAGUCC
rnacentral:rRNA from 1 species